CUUAUUAGCCACAACGAACCCAAAGGUUUAUGAAGGGUUUAUAAGGUCGGUUUGCUAUAGAAAUAUCAACCUCCGCUAUUUUCUCGUCUUACAUUUCAGUCUCAUGAAUAUCUGCACUUCUAUUAAUCCAUCAAUUUGUUUCUCUACUAUAUUUUUUCUUCGUUACAACACUAUUUCCUACAAAAAAAUUCUUGAACACUUUGAUGUCCAGCACUAAAACCCCCAUUUCCCUCACAAUUAAAUUCAAUCAAUUUACUGAUUUAGAAACAAAACCAUAUCAGAAUUCCUCUAUUAUGUGGAGAAACAUAGUUAAACAGUUCUCUUCAAGAACCCCACAAAAGCUUCUUCUUAACUCCAAGAAUCGUACUUAUAGCUUUCUCGGUUUUAGCCAAGAUUCUAUUUUUAAAGAUAAAACAAAAUUAAGAUCAUUUAUCCCUGUUUCUUGUUUAAAUAGUGGAUUUCCUGAAAUGGGGUUUCAGAAUCUUGGUGAAUUUUUACCUGGGGAUGAGUUUUUAAACAGACCCUUAUUGUAUGCUAUGAAAAGUCAAGAUUUUUGUCGAAAGAACUAUGCUAGUGUAGCUGAGGCUGAAGCAGCAUCUUCCACUGAUGCUGAUGAAGACACAAAAGAUGUGUCUGUAGUUGGUGAAGUUCAAGAAUUGUUAACAGAAUUUAAGAAAGAAGAGAAAAAACAGUUUGAUUUUAUGCGGCGAAAGCAAAGGAUGUUGACUAGUGGUAUGGGCCAUAGGAAGUAUAACUCACUUAAGAGGAGGCAAGUUAAGGUAGAGACAGAGGCAUGGGAACUAGCAGCAAAAGAGUACAGGGAGCUUUUGUUUGAUAUGUGUGAGCAGAAAUUAGCACCUAAUUUGCCAUAUGUUAAGUCAUUGUUUUUAGGAUGGUUUGAGCCUUUGCGUGAUAAGAUAGCUGAAGAGCAGGAAUUUUGUAGUCAAGGGAAGAGUAAAGCAGCUUAUUCUAAGUAUUUUCACCAGUUACCUGCAGAUAUGAUGGCGGUUAUCACUAUGCAUAAGUUGAUGGGAUUAUUGAUGACAGGCGGCGACCAUGGUACUGCAAGAGUGGUCCAAGCUGCGCUUGUUAUUGGUGAUGCAAUUGAACAGGAGGUUAGAAUACACAAGUUCUUAGAGAAAACAAAGAAGCAUAAAGCCGAGAAAGAUACAAAAAUGGAAGAUGGAGAGCAUGUCACUCAAGAACAAGAGAAACUACGCAAGAAAGUCACUAGUCUAAUGAAAAAACAGAAGUUACGUGCAGUGAACCAGAUAGUGAGAAGUCAAGACGAUUCAAAGCCCUGGGGCCAAGAUGCUAAAGCAAAGGUUGGAAGCCGUUUAAUUGAGUUGCUUCUACAGACAGCUUAUAUACAGUCUCCUGCUGAUCAGUUAGCAGUUGAUCCACCUGACAUUCGACCUGCCUUUGUACACAGUGUUAGAACUGUAUCCAAAGAAACAAAGAGUGCGAGCAGAAGAUAUGGUAUUAUCCAAUGUGAUGAACUGGUUUUUAAAGGACUUGAAAAAACUGCCAGACACAUGGUGAUACCUUACAUGCCAAUGUUGGUGCCUCCAGUGAAGUGGACUGGUUAUGACAAGGGUGGACACCUCUAUCUGCCUUCGUAUGUGAUGCGGACACACGGAGCAAGACAACAACGUGAAGCAGUAAAGAGAGCCUCCCGGAACCAGUUGCGACCAGUUUUUGAGGCUCUUGAUACUCUGGGAAGUACCAAAUGGAGGAUAAACAAAAGGGUACUUUCUGUUGUUGAUAGAAUAUGGGCUGGUGGCGGUCGUCUGGCUAAUUUGGUUGACCGUGAUGAUGUCCCUUUGCCAGAAGAACCAGAUACGGAAGAUGAGGCAGUACGCACAAAGUGGAGGUGGAAAGUAAAAUCUGUCAAGAAAGAGAACAGAGAAAGGCACUCACAACGAUGUGACACCGAGCUCAAACUUGCUGUAGCACGUAGAAUGAAAGAUGAAGAAGGUUUCUUCUAUCCGCACAACGUUGAUUUCCGAGGUCGUGCAUACCCCAUGCAUCCACAUUUAAACCAUCUUGGUUCUGAUAUCUGUCGGGGUGUCCUGGAGUUCGCAGAAGGUCGUCCUCUUGGAGAGUCGGGCUUGCGCUGGUUGAAGAUACAUCUUGCAAAUUUAUUUGCUGGUGGUGUGGAUAAAUUAUCUCUUGAGGGCAGAAUAGCUUUUACUGAAAAUCACUUGGAUGAUAUAUUUGAUUCUGCUGACAAACCGCUCGAAGGAAGACGCUGGUGGUUGAAUGCAGAGGAUCCUCUUCAGUGCCUGGCUGCAUGCAUUAAUCUUAGUGAAGCUGUCAGAAGCUCAUCCCCAGAGACGAUGAUUUCUCAUCUUCCUGUGCACCAGGAUGGUUCCUGCAAUGGUUUACAACAUUAUGCUGCCCUUGGAAGAGAUGAGUUGGGAGCUGCUGCAGUCAAUUUGGUUGCUGGAGAAAAACCUGCUGAUGUUUACUCUGGCAUAGCAACUAGGGUCCUUGAUAUUAUGAAAAGAGAUGCACAGAGAGAUCCUGAAGAAUUUCCAGAUGCUGUGCGUGCAAGGGUUUUAGUUAAUCAGGUUGACAGGAAGUUGGUGAAGCAGACGGUGAUGACAUCAGUCUAUGGCGUCACUUACAUUGGUGCUCGUGAUCAAAUAAAGAGGAGGUUAAAGGAGCGUGGAGCAAUUGCUGAUGAUUCUGAGCUAUUUGGUGCUGCUUGCUAUGCUGCAAAAGUCACAUUAACUGCAUUAGGAGAGAUGUUUGAAGCUGCGCGGAGCAUCAUGACUUGGCUUGGAGAGUGUGCUAAGAUAAUUGCUUCUGAAAAUGAACCAGUCAGAUGGACAACUCCUCUUGGACUUCCUGUUGUUCAACCUUACCGCAAAAUUGGAAGACAUCUUAUUAAGACUUCUUUACAAAUUUUGACUUUGCAACGCGACACAGAAAAGGUAAUGGCCAAGAGGCAAAGGACAGCUUUUCCACCAAAUUUCAUUCACUCCCUUGAUGGUUCACAUAUGAUGAUGACUGCUGUUGCAUGCAGAAGGGCAGGAUUAAAUUUUGCAGGUGUUCAUGACUCGUAUUGGACGCAUGCAUGCGAUGUUGAUAAGUUGAACAUGAUAUUGAGAGAGAAGUUUGUAGAGCUUUAUGAAACGCCAGUUCUUGAGAAAUUGUUGGAGAGCUUCCAAAUUUCCUAUCCUACAUUGUCAUUCCCGCCUUUGCCUGAACGUGGAGACUUUGAUUUGAGAGAUGUCCUAGAAUCUCCCUAUUUCUUCAAUUGAUUGGGUUCAUGAGUAGCCUUCAUACUCACACCCUUGAAGUACUAAAACUGGCCAGUGUGUUCUUGUGCUUUCAAAUGCCAUAGUGGGGAAGAUGAUGAAAAGUUUGUGCUACUACAUAGUAUUCGGUGAGAUGCAGGUUCUGACUGUAUAUAUAAAAAUGGUCAGCAUCUUAAACCCCGGAUGCUCUGGUUCUCUUCUUGAUCGUGUAGCCUGCACUCCCUAGUGCACCUGGGGCAGAAGUUUCCAGUCCAAGCUUGUAUGCAAUGAGAAGACAGAUUUCCCGACCUGUUUCUAACAGAUUAUGGAGAAUAUGUUCCAAGAAAGCUUGUUGAGAAAUAUAAAUGAUCGCUGUAGCCUGUAGGGUCUAAACUCUACCGCAGAAGCUUUUGAGGUGCAAGGAUAGAAAUGAUCUCCAGGUUUUGCAGGCUGUUCGCCUAUAUCUCUGGUCAGAUUGUCCACCAGAUGCAAGCAGGGACAAUUCUCCAUCUACUUCUGUUCUUUGCCAUAGACCCUGCUUCCUCCCAACUCUGUAAAGCUUCUGUAAUCUUUCCAGGAUAUGCCUUUAAGGUUAAAGAAAAUUCUCCACAGCUGUUCAGUCACUUCGCAAUGUAGGAAUAGAUGGUUAACUGUCUCUGCUUUAUCUCCACACAAAAAACAUUUGGGACACAAUGUUAUCUGUCUUUUCAUUAAAUAUUGUCACAAGAUGCUCUGGUGGUGAAUUCUGUAUUUUGAUGCUAACAAAAUCUGUUUAUAUC